CUACUCUGGUUUUUCUUCUUCAGAUCGUAUUUAAAUCUUUCACCCUUUUACUAAAGAUUUCUGUGGAGAGGAACAAUUCUGAGUCUUGUUAAUAUUUUUGAGGCCUUGCAUCUGCAAGGC